CUUGGAGAGACUUAAACUGGAAUAGCUAGUUAGGGAGCUAAAGUCCUCAUUUGAAAUCAGCUCUGAAAAACAAAGCUAAAGCCCUGACUGCAUUAAAAUUCAAAUUGAACCUGGCUAGGCAACAACAUGCAUCUCCAGGGUGACUUUGUAGCCAUCUAUUUCCAACAAUACUAUAAAGAGCAGAAGGUUUGAAGGGAGGAGCCCCUGAUGGUGUUAACAAGCUGGUGCAGAUGGAAUUAUAGGCAAUCAGAGGCCAACACUUGACAGCCUAUGAGAAUAAAACAUAUGUAUAUACUUUUAAAGACGUACCAAAAAAGGAAACCUUUAAUAGACGUCUUACCUGAUUUGAAUUCUGUUAUAGAAUACAUUCCCUAGCUUGUAUAUACACCAGCAAUGCUGAAGUCAUGUAUGCAUCUGAUUAGAAAUUGUGACCUUUCCUACUCCAGCUGCAAACUAAAAGAAAAGCAAUGGAGAAAGUUAGACAGUACAGCCAGCACACUACCAUGCUAGAAAGAGCACUUCUCUGCUGCAGUCACAUAAAGCCAAUAGUUCCCUUUGUGGGAUUUGGGCUGAGAUUGACCUUUGAAGCCCAAAUUCAUGACUCCUGUCAGCACUUGCUAUAGCACCCGAUGAAGCUGUUCCUAGCCCCAGCUGUCUGCCCCUGAUCUAGCUGGGGAGCAUCCCUCCCUCCAGGGCAAUGGCAGGACAGAUGCUGUGAUUGCUCCUCACCUGCCAUGGCUGAGUCUAUCUUAGGAUUCUCCGAGUCGGAGCUCUGAGAUCAAGCUGCUAUGGACAGCACUGGUAUUUAUGUGAUCAUGGCAGUGGGGCAGAGAAGCAGCUACAGCUGGUUACAUCCUGAACUACAGCACCUUAACCUGACAGAGACAGAAGAUCAAAGCUGUAGGUCCCACUACAGGACUGAGGAUAUUGUGGCCAAUGACAGGAGAAGGAACAUGUUGUAUGUUGCUUGGGAAGACACAUGGGCAAGGAGGAACGGUUGCCACAAUGUGUGGGGAACAAUGGCAUCCUCUGUCUUACACAGAGAGGCCGGAUCACAGUCAAGAGACUUGGAGUACUGUGGUAGCUCCCAGGAGCCAUGAACCAAGUGCCUCUUAACCUAGGGACUCUAUAAAC
ensembl:lncRNA